UACGUAGGGUGCGAGCGUUAAUCGGAAUUACUGGGCGUAAAGCGUGCGCAGGCGGUUCGUUAAGUUCGUUGUGAAAGCGCCGGGCUCAACCUGGGAAUGGCAAUGGAAACUGGCGAGCUUGAAUGUGGCAGAGGGGGGUGGAAUUCCGCGUGUAGCAGUGAAAUGCGUAGAGAUGCGGAGGAACACCGAUGGCGAAGGCAGCCCCCUGGGCCAACACUGACGCUCAGGCACGAAAGCGUGGGGAGCAAACAGG
rnacentral:rRNA from 1 species